UACGUAGGGUGCAAGCGUUGUCCGGAAUUAUUGGGCGUAAAGCGCACGCAGGCGGCUGCGUAAGUCUGACGUGAAAUCUCCCGGCUUAACCGGGAGCGGUCGUUGGAAACUAUGCGGCUUGAGGCGAUGAGAGGGGUGUGGAAUUCCCGGUGUAGUGGUGGAAUGCGUAGAUAUCGGGAGGAACAUCAGUGGCGAAAGCGGCACCCUGGCAUUAGCCUGACGCUCAGGUGCGAAAGCGUGGGGAGCGAACGGG
rnacentral:rRNA from 1 species